rnacentral:rRNA from 1 species
UACGUAGGAUGCAAGCGUUGUCCGGAAUUAUUGGGCGUAAAGGGCUCGUAGGCGGUUUGUCGCGUCGGGAGUGAAAUCCACUGGCUUAACUGGUGGCUUGCUUUCGAUACGGGCAGACUGGAGGUAUGCAGGGGAGAACGGAAUUCCUGGUGUAGCGGUGAAAUGCGCAGAUAUCAGGAGGAACACCGGUGGCGAAGGCGGUUCUCUGGGCAUGUCCUGACGCUGAGGAGCGAAAGUGUGGGGAGCGAACAGG